CUGAGUCCUAUCCCAGAGGAGGAGGAGAAGGAAGAGGUGACGGAGGCGGGGACUAGAUGAGGGAAAUUGGGGAGUGCUGACGACAUCCCCUACUUCGCUACUGGCUGGGCGGAGAAAGUGCCAAUGGCCAUAGUGGGACCCCAUCCCCUGAUAGACCUUGGGCCUUGAGUCUCUGAAACAAGGAGUGCCCUGGAUUCUUUUAGGGUCGCGCAAAAUAUAUGGCCAAAAUAUAUCUCAUUCAGUAUUUUGAGGCCAUCACCUCUCCAUCGAAAGGUUUCAUGGUCAUAUAUCAUCAUUGGAAGAACAUUGGCAUCAGAGAGAUGAGUUUUGCAGCAGCCUUGGACUUAUUGAAAACACAUGCACAUUUCUAAAUAUAAUAAAACUUCAACUUGAAAAA